UUUUUCUUUUUUUAAUUUAGGGGGAAAAAAAAAACUUAGAAAGCCUCUACUUUUGCUUACUAUUUCUUUCAAAAGUUAUUUAUUCCUUCUGACAAUUAGUGUUCUCACUAGAGAACGUUCUGCUCACACCGAUUUUGUCUCUUGGGUGUUAGCUCUCCUUUUUUAGAUAUUAGGGGAUCGCAUGAAGUCGAAAAUUGAGGAUACUGAUGUUGUGCUAUAUGGUAAUUAACUAAUUAUUAAUGAAAGGUCCUUACUAAAGAGCAAACAUUAGUAGGAAGAAAAUUGUGGUGAAAAAGCAAAUUUUGUGUAGCUGAUGUUUCUUACUGAUGGUGACAAGUGCAAAGUGCUCG
rnacentral:lncRNA from 1 species